rnacentral:rRNA from 1 species
UAAGGAAUAUUGGUCAAUGCCCGGAAGGGUGAACCAGCCAUCCCGCGUGAAGGAUGAAGGGGCUCUGCCUUGUAAACUUCUUUUGAAUGGGACGAAAAAGCCUCACUUGUGAGGAACUGACGGUACCAUUAGAAUAAGCACCGGCUAACUCCGUGCCAGCAGCCGCGGUAAUACGGAGGGUGCGAGCGUUAUCCGGAAUCACUGGGUUUAAAGGGUGCGUAGGCGGCUGUAUAAGUCAGUGGUGAAAGGCUGUGGCUUAACCAUGGGAUUGCCAUUGAUACUGUACGGCUUGAAUUAGGAUGAGGUUGGCGGAAUGUGACAUGUAGCGGUGAAAUGCUUAGAUAUGUCAUGGAACAUCGAUUGCGAAGGCAGCUGACUGGACCUUAAUUGACGCUGAGGCACGAAAGCGUGGGGAGCGAACAGGAUUAGAUACCCAGGUAGUCCCUGAGCGGGCUGGCAAGGCGCAU